rnacentral:rRNA from 1 species
AACGAACGCUGGCGGCAUGCCUAACACAUGCAAGUCGAACGAGAUCUUCGGGUCUAGUGGCGCACGGGUGCGUAACGCGUGGGAAUCUGCCCUUUGGUUCGGAAUAACAGUUGGAAACGACUGCUAAUACCGGAUGAUGACGAAAGUCCAAAGAUUUAUCGCCAGAGGAGGAGCCCGCGUAGGAUUAGCUAGUUGGUGUGGUAAAGGCGAACCAAGGCGACGAUCCUUAGCUGGUCUGAGAGGCUGAUCAGCCACACUGGGACUGAGACACGGCCGAGACUCCUACGGGAGGCACCGGUGGGGAAUAUUGGACAAUGGGCGGAAGCCUGAUCCAGCAAUGCCGCGUGAGUGAUGAAGGCCUUAGGGUUGUAAAGCUCUUUUACCCGGGAUGAUAAUGACAGUACCGGGAGAAUAAGCUCCGGCUAACUCCGUGCCAGCAGCCGCCGUAA